AGGCUCGGCGUUGGCCUCCGCGGCCCGUGCGAGUGCGCCCUUCUCGGGUCCCCUAGGUCGCGGGGCAGCCGGGGCGGAAGGGGCUUGUUCAUUAUUUUGAGAGUUUGUUGUGAACGUCAUAACCUUUCGUCCUUAAAUAUUGCCGAUACUUGACCUACGCAAGAGACAAUGUCAUGUGAUUCAGCCUAAUAUCUCAGAGGAUGCAGCAUUCAAGGUUCUAUCUUGGAAGCAGAGACUGUGCCCUCACCAGAUGCUGAACCUGCUGAGCACCCUGAUCUUCCACUUCACCUUCAUCAGAACUACUGGGGCUGUGGCUGAGAUGUCACAUGGCAGAUAGGAUCACAAAUUUCUGUUGUAUCUGGAUGGAGAUCAGCAGGAGGAUCUAUGGGUGAGAAGAAGCACAGUUACAGAUGGAUUCUAGAGCCUGCUUGCUGACACAGGCUUGCAACUGCGGACUUUAUAAGCUUAGUUUUUAAUCUGCUAUCAGCUAGCAUAAUACCAUAAAUGCAUAAGAAACUAAGUAUUCAGUCUUACGAGAAAUGCUAUCUUGACCUGACCCUUUCUCCAAAUAAAUUGACAAAAUAUCUCAUCGUCUAGGAUGCCAGACAGAAAUACCAGUUGCAAUGUUUUGUUGCAUAAAGUUUAUCCUAAUUUAAAUUAGUGGCAUAUAAAGUCAUCAUCUUGCUUGAACAAACAUCUUAUUAAAUUGAGCAUGUCUUUUAUCCCAUGAAAUGAAAUUAAUUUUGAGAUAGUUAUUUUUCAGUUGGAAAUUUAUUGAGUUGAUAGAAAACAAGUUAUAUAGUCUUCCAAAGAAUAUGUUACAUCCAUUUGCAUUUUGUUUUUCUUCAGCAAUGUUUGGUUUUUAGAAAAUCUUACAAGUUAAAUAUACUAAUGUAGAAAUUGAAAGAAAAUAAUCAGAGAUAGAGCAAUAAAUUUGCAAAUAAAGAUUAUUCUUAAAACAAA
rnacentral:lncRNA from 1 species